rnacentral:rRNA from 1 species
CCUACGGGAGGCAGCAGUGGGGAAUAUUGCACAAUGGGGGAAACCCUGAUGCAGCAACGCCGCGUGAGUGAUGACGGCCUUCGGGUUGUAAAGCUCUGUCUUCAGGGACGAGAAUGACGGUACCUGAGGAGGAAGCCACGGCUAACUACGUGCCAGCAGCCGCGGUAAUACGUAGGUGGCGAGCGUUGUCCGGAUUUACUGGGCGUAAAGGGAGCGUAGGCUGACUUUUAAGUGAGAUGUGAAAUACUCGGGCUCAACUUGAGUGCUGCAUUUCAAACUGGAAGUCUAGAGUGCAGGAGAGGAGACUGGCAUUCCUCUUGUAGCGGUGAACUGCGUAGAGAUUAGGAAGAACCCCAGUGGCGACGGCGCUUCUCUGGACUGUACCUGACGCUGAGGCUCGCAAGCGUGGGGAGCAAACAGGAUUAGCUACCCCUGUAGUC